GGGCAUUGUAGAAGUGUUCUAGUCCCUUCCAUCUAGGACGUUCUGUGAUUCCCAAGUAGGACUCUGACAGCCCUAAUCUGUAUAUAUCCUUGCUUUUUCAGAACUUUGAUAUAUGCAGAACAUGCUUCCUAUAGAUCUCCAAGGUGAGACUUGAAUUCAUUGUGUAUGACGUAAAGAAUACUAUACACAGUAUGCCUUUAAAUCUCUCUGGGACCAUAGACUGUAAGGCCUGCUCUGUGUAUCUCAGCAUUGCUUGGGGAAGAUAGAUACUCAAAAUAUGAAAUUAAAUGAGACCCUCUUCACCUGUAUUUAAUAUAGCAUGAUUUUAUCUGGGCUUUUUUAGAUUAGUCCCUAAUGUUUGGGGAAUUCAGCUGAAAAAGAACUUGGUAUUUUUUUACAGUGUGUUUUAAAUAUACCCCAAUACUGAAAAGAAUUGAUGGGAGGUGAUUUAAAUGUGGCCCUUUAUGAAGUGAGGUCAAGAGACUGCAUAACCUCCAGGGUCCACGCUGGCCAAGGUCCAAGUGAGCAUGGACUGGGUCCUGGGUGGAGGCCUGUGGUGAGAUUAGUAAUGAGAUUUCUCAGGAGGCAGAGCCGGGUCGAGAGUAGAGGGAAGCACAAAGUUUGUGCAAAAGGAGAAAGACGGAUGCAGUGAAAGCACCAGGUAAGGGGCGCGAAUCUAGAGACGGCAGCUUUUUGUGUGAUUCAGGUUAAAUAGCAGUGGCACUCUCACCAGCCCUCCAGAUCACUGAAGGGAUUCACCAUCGGUUCACCCUUCUAGAAGGGCAUCACGUGGGAAGCGCCAUGCUAUGGUCUGAAUGUGUGUGUCCCCCACAAAAUUCACGUGUUGAAACAAUGAUGUGACCUAUUUUCCUAUUUUGGGAAGAUAACUGGUCUUUCAUUUUUGUCAAUAAAUACGUGACUUUGUUACUGUAUAACCCUGUGCUAAACGCUUCACGUUUCAUCAUUCAUGACCAACGUGAUGGUAUUUGGAGGUAGGGCAUUUGGGAGGAUAUUAUGUUAUGAGGGCAGAGCCUUAUGUUCGUUCCUUACAAGAGACCCUAGAGAGCUAGCCCUUCUCUUCUGCCACGUGAGGUUACAGGGAGAAGAUGACCAUCUGUGAGGAAGCAGGACUCACCAGCCACGAAUCUGCCAUCACCUUGAUCUUGGACUUCUCAGCCUCCAGAACUGCGGAGAAGCUGGAACCCAGAGAGGGUGUGCAACCUGCCCCAGAAAAGCAGACCAGGAUAUACUUCAGAAUGGAGCCUAUGAUGGGAAGCAGUCAAAUCCCACCAAAGUUAAGAAUGUAUGAGCUGUCUGUUCUCUUAUGAACGUAAUGUAUAAAUUCUGCUGCUCUGUGCCAUUCUGAUUUAGAACCGAAGAUGAAAGUAAUUGUGAAGGUGAAGGACAGCAUUGGGAACUAUUCUUAGAAUCCUGCAACAAAUGAAUUUUGUUUUAAGGCACUCAGUUGGGCCUUAUUUGAUUUUAUGAACUUUCUUAUCUGUUUCUUGAACUGUAGCUAGGGAAAACUGAUCUUCCCAAUUUUUCUAGUUGUUAUUAGGACAAAUUCAUAGUGUCUGAUGAGAAAGAUAUAGAGGGAUAGGAGCUUAAUCUAGUGAAGAAAUUAAAGAAAUCCCAAGUUGACACCAUGUUUAAUUUCCUUUGAGCUUAUUACCCUUUGCUGGUCAGUGAUAGUUGGGGCAUAAGGUGUACCCACAGGCAAACAGUGCAGGGGUUUACCAAGGAGUUUUACAGGCAUGACCUUCAGAUACUGUGACAGGAUCCUUCGUUUGCUACUCUUACAAAUAACUUCUCAGGCUCCAAGUCCAGACACAGAGAGCGCUCAGCAGCAGCCGGCAAGCUCAUGGAGGGUCUGAUGGGGUGGGCUCCCGGCUGGCGACAGCAGAAGGCAGAGGAUUAUCGCUGAGGACGGGAAGGGCAGAGAGAAGAUGAAGAGCUGCAGAGGAGACGGAGAUGAUAAACAGCACGAAAGCCAAGUUAGAGGAAUGGAAUUAAGAGCUCAGAGGAAGGAAAUGACCUUUUAAGAGGACACACCUGAACUCCACAGCCUCUCUUCUCUCCCUUCUCUGACAGACAGAAAUCAAGCUAGUGCCCAUCAACUGUGUCUUUUUCUUCCCCCAUUUUCAAUUUUUCUCAAACCAAAACCUGGACAAAUCACAGGGUGGCAACAUCAUUAAAUGUUCAUAAGACCAAGCAUGCCCAUCAUUGUGGUGUUUACAAUAAAAGAUUGAUAA